ensembl:lncRNA
CUCAAACACAGGCUUUGUGUUGUUUUCCUCUCUGGUUUUAAAUCUGUUAAACGCAGACUUUAAACUAAAUUUUCUUUUUAGAAGAAGCUUCCUGCUGCUUUGUGGGACCUCCAGCUGUUGCACUCUGCAUUGACCUGACCCUGACACGUGUGACUGUGCAGUGAUUCAUUGUCUGAACUGGUUUAGCCGUUGGGUGUGAAAAUCUGCCGGAGAAGAUGUUUGCUGCUGAAGCUAAAGCAUUUGUCCAGACGCUGGGAGGAACAGACCUCAUCUCUAAUGAUAACUUAAACUGUAAAAUGGAUCUGCUGACUCUGGUCAAAGUCACUGAGGGAAUUUUUUGGCCGGUACAGAAGUACAAAGUGAUACACUAUAGCCUGCCCGAGCUCACCGAGGAAGAAAACUUCUCUCCAGAUUACACCGAGGAAGUCUUGGUAGAGGACUUUAGGAUCACUACAGAGAAGAGUGGGAGUGGAGGUAUAGGUGGAGAAUGCAGUAAUGUGGGUGAAGCUUAUAUUAAUGCCAGCACUAGUUCUGUGGAUGGACUGGUUCAGCCCGUCAGCAUGAUGACAAAGAAGGCCAAUGUUAAAACUGUGGUGAGCAGAUUCAAGGGCAGGAAAAUACACAAGGAUACCUUGAACCUGCUGGGACUGAAAGAGAAGGAUAAACUGAUGUUUGUCUCUCAAAUAGUUUACAACUCCAGUCCUGUCAAAAUUAUUAGAAAGUCUACGACUGAUGGCUCCAUUUUCACUUCUUAUGUAAAGAUGCUGAGUGUCUUUGCAAAGGGGAGCAGUAAGGCGGAGACAAGCUUCACUGUGCCAGCAAAAUCCAUCUUUGCUUAUAGCCUGGUGGAGAUAAAGAUAGAGAAUGAGAAACUGAAGAUCUCAUGUGAGCCAUGGACUCGUAGUUUACUCGAUUGGCUCCUUUGUGAUGACGUAAGCAAUCCAACUGUGAAAAAAGUAAAAGAAGAACUAGAGAUGAAGGAAGCUCUACUGCAGCCGCUGGCAGAUCUUCCUGAGUCGACCCGUUGUGAUCUGCUGCAAACACUCAGCAAGCUCGUAGAGGAUGGAGACAAUCUCUCUCUGCUGGAUAAAACACUGGAUCAUUGCAGUAAUGGAGUGUUUGAGUGUGAGUCUGAGGCUGUCUCUUCCUUCAUGGACCUUCUCAAUGUCUCAAACAUCUCCACAAGUGAGCAGAAUGCUGUUCAUAUGUUGGUCAGCGCUCUGCACACUCUGCCAGAUGAAGUGCCGCCACUUCUGACCUGCUGCAGUCCAGACACUCUGAGAGUGCUCAAUCAGCUGGUGGAUGGUCUGAAGGACGGUCGGGCCAAACUGCCAGAGUCCCUGCCCGUCCCCCUGCAGGAGGGAGGGGAGCUCCGCUGGGCGGCCGAGUUCAUCUGUUUGAACGAUCAGAAGCUGAAAGAGUUGAGUGACGGCUGGGACCGGCCCGAGCUGCCCCCAGAGGUUCUGCUGGAGGUUCUGUGCCUCGCUGUGCAGGGACUCAGCCUGAUGCAGCCCACAACAAACCCUUAAUGUCAGCUGCUGUGAUCUUUGUUAAUGUGCUUUUACAGCAGCCGAUGCUUGUGAUGGUUCAGUGUCCAGUCAGGCCAGGUGAACCUUUUUGGGUAUGGAAAAGGAUGGCGAGCCAAUGAACGGCUAUAGGAGCAGGAAUCAUUCUGCAUUGAAGCUUCCACUGGUUGGGUAAGAAGCUAUCAAAGACGACGCUCUGUCCCCAUUUUCCGAAUACACUGAUUUCCACAAUCAUACACACCAUUCCCCCCGUUUAUGGACAAUAGCACUUGGACAUCUCUCAUGGCCAAUAUGACAAAGAAAUCACAUAUUUGCUUCAAAGGGGUUAAGUGUUCUAAAAUCAUGAAAUCACGAAAACUAGCUUAAUUGUUUUUUGACAUAGUAAAAAACAACAUGUAUCACUUUAGAUUUUAAGCUAAUUGGGCUGAAGGGUGUCUUGUUUCGAUUGGUAAACAGUUCUUAGCAAAUGUAUUUGUCCGCUCCUCAAUGAAAGUUUUAUCCCAAAUAUUGACAGUGUUGAUAAUUAAAGGAAUCCUUUUUGGGUUUUCUGUAAUGGUUAACUGAGCAGUAUAUGCAGGCUAUUUAAAUAAAAUAAUAUUUUUACUGCAAAAAUAUUAUUGAUGUUUUAUCCACAAUUUUUUUUAUUUACAUUUUUACAAAAUAGUCGGAAAAAUAG